rnacentral:rRNA from 1 species
UGGGCGCGGUAAUUUGACCGUGCAAAGGUAGCAUAAUUAUUAGUCUUUUAAUUGAAGGCUUGAAUGAAUGAUUGGAUGAAAAAUUUACUUUAUUAAUUUAAAUUAUUUAAUUUAUGAUCUAAGUAAAAAUCCUUAGAUAAAUGAAUGGGACGAGAAGACCCUAUAGAGUUUUAUUUUUUUUUUUAUUAUAAAAUUCUAGAAUUAAUAUUUUUAUAAUAAUAAAAAAUUUUUGAUUGGGGUGAUCUUAAAAAUUAUUAAACUUUUAAUUAAUAUUUCAUUAAUCUAUGUUGAAUUGAUCCAAAAAUUUUUGAUUACAUGAUUAAAUUACCUUAGGGAUAACAGCGUUAUUAAUUUGAAGAGUUCAAAUCGAUAAAUUAGUUUGCGACCUCGAUGUUGGAUUAAAAAAAAAUUUUGAAGUAGUAUUUAAAAUAAUGGGUCUGUUCGACCUUUAAAUUCUU